rnacentral:rRNA from 1 species
GAUGAACGCUGGCGGUGUGCCUAAUACAUGCAAGUCGAGCGAACAGACGAGGAGCUUACUCCUCUGACGUUAGCGGCGGACGGGUGAGUAACACGUGGAUAACCAACCUAUAAGACUGGGAUAACUUCGGGAAACCGGAGCUAAUACCGGAUAACAUGUUGAACCGCAUGGUUCAACAGUGAAAGACGGUCUUGCUGUCACUUAUAGAUGGAUCCGCGUCGCAUUAGCUAGUUGGUAAGGUAACGGCUUACCAAGGCAACGAUGCGUAGCCGACCUGAGAGGGUGAUCGGCCACACUGGAACUGAGACACGGUCCAGACUCCUACGUGAGGCAGCAGUAGGGAAUCUUCCGCAAUGGGCGAAAGCCUGACGGAGCAACGCCGCGUGAGUGAAGAAGGUCUUCGGAUCGUAAAACUCUGUUAUUAGGGAAGAACAAAUGUGUAAGUAACUAUGCACGUCUUGACGGUACCUAAUCAGAAAGCCACGGCUAACUACGUG